AAGUCGUUUCCUCUUGUGUGCAUACCUUGGAAAAUCUGAACAAAAUCAGUGAGAACGCUGUACCCUCUCCCCAUCAAAACUGAGGUCC
rnacentral:snoRNA from 1 species